rnacentral:misc_RNA from 1 species
UACGGGGGGAGCGAGCGUUGUUCGGAAUCACUGGGCGUAAAGCGUGCGUAGGCGGUUUGGUAAGUCAGAAGUGAAAGCCCGGGGCUCAACCCCGGAACUGCUUUUGAAACUACUUGACUAGAGUAUGGUAGAGGUUGGGAGAAUUCCUAGUGUAGAGGUGAAAUUCGUAGAUAUUAGGAGGAAUACCAGUGGCGUAGGCGCCCAACUGGACCAUUACUGACGCUCAGGCACGAAAGCGUGGGGAGCAAACAGG